AAGCUAAACGCGAAUGGAGCAUGGUGGGUGGUCACCGAAUAUUUUGACGAACACAACCAUGAACUCAUAAAGAAGUUUGAUCUCGUAAAAUUUCUGAGCGCCCACAGAGGAUUCACCCCCCUCAAGAAGAAAUUCAUAAAGCUGCUACAUGAUUGUAACGUCGGUCCAUCAAGAAUGGUCCAGAUACUGUCCAUGAUCCACAGCAAAAAUGGAACUCUAAGUAGCAUGCCCUACAUACCAGCAGACGUCACAAACCUAAAGGAAAAGUACCGUAGAGAGACCAGGUUGGCUGACAUAGAAGACAUGAUAGCCUACUUCAAAGAGAAAGCAAAAGCAGAUGCUGAUUUCUUCUAUAGGAUAACAUUGGACGAUGAGGACCAUGUCAGAAACAUGUAUUGGGUGGAUGGUGCUGCAAGAAGAGCCUACAAAAAUUUCCGUGAUUGCAUUUCAUUCGACGCGACAUAUCUCACUAAUAUGUACAAGAUGUCCUGCGCUCGAUUCAUAGGAAUAAAUAACCACAAUACGGAUGGUUACACUUGGCUGUUCAAAACCUUCUUGGAGUGCAUGGGUGGACUUGCUCCGAUGAACAUAAUAACAUACCAGGAUUUUAGCAUGCGUACAGGCAUAGAGGAGGUCUUUCCGUUGGUAGUGCACAGGCACUGCAGGUGGCAUAUUAUUAAGAAGGCUGAGGAGACGCUAGGACCAUUCUUUGCUACUACUCAGCGCAGCGAGGGGUUCAAUGUUGUUUUGAAGCGGUACGACGGGAUUGUGUGCUGUCACAUACUGAAAGUAAUGGAAAUGGUCGCGGUAACACGAUUGCCCCGCCAUUUCAUAUGGCGGCGAUGGACUUGGGACGCUGACGACGCGUUGGGGCCACAAACAUCAAAUGCAGUUUUGGCUGUGCAUGAUGAGAGACCAGAGGCAACCAUGGACGCCGUGAGGCACGUUGUGUUGACCAAGAACUAUGCGGAACUAAUAGAUGAAGCAUGCUAG
rnacentral:rRNA from 1 species